GGGAGAAGAAAAAAAGGAAAAAAAAAAAUCGUACGCGUCCGUCUCGCGACGCGAUCUUUGACGCUUGCGCUCCUGGGCCAUCCGACCUAAAGCUUGCUACCAGUUUUUUUCUUUUUCCUACUUCGACGUGAAACUCGGACCCUUCGUCGUUCAACUACGGAACAUGGAAGACCCCUGGGAGUACGGCAAGCUUCCAUCGGACGAAGAAAGUAUCGCCGUCAACAUGGUACUCUUCUCGAGCGGGUGUACCUCAUUCUCUCCCCUUCGUUUGAUUAUACUCAAACGCGUUUUGUAAAUUACAUACUUGGAAACGUCCGUCCCGUUUUUAUUCGACGAGUAAACAGAGUUACCUGUGCAUGACACAAGUGCUACCGUUUGGUACAAAUAAUGAAAUAACAGUUCUACGCCCCGGUAGGGUGUUUCUUUUUCUACCGACAAUGCUACUACUGAUAACACCGAUGCCCAAGGAGGAGAGCACCAAGUGCAACGAACGGUAUGAUAAGUAAAUGCACUCUCGCAAGAUUCUCCAUCCACCCAGUCCGAGACUAGGGUGCGAAUUUACCGUUGAUAAAGAGGCGAUUUCAUCUGCAGGGUGCUAUGCUACAGUCGGUAACACGACUCGGACAAGUCGGUAACGCACCUGUACAGGUGUUUCUAUCGGACUUACCUUCGUUUCUUGCGUUUUAUACGAUAAUCAAACAAGAUGGUUCAACAGUCGUUAAAGAUGGUACAAAAUAAAUAUAUGUAUUUGAUUUCCAUGUCCGGAACAUUAUUUAAAAACCGAAGAUCAGAUGCGAUAAGAAAUGCAUAAAAUCAGAAAUACUUUCUAACGAUAACAUUAAGAAAUCACGAGUAAAUUAUUAUGAAAAUCGCAUUGUUCGAGAACCACCGGCCUAUAUAUAACAUAAAUUCGUUCACAUUAUUAAAAAGAUGUGCACUUAUCGGUGACUAUAAAUCGCAGUUGAAUUAAACUGCGACAUGUGCAUCAGACAAAUAAAAAUUCAAUGGAUGUUAAAAGAUUAAAAGUAUUGAAAAUAAUAUCAAUAGAAGUGCUUGUGAACGAACAAAUGUGAAAGCAACAUAGUUGCGUUUGAAAAAUGGAUAUUUUCAAAAUAUCGGAGGUACAAUAGGUAUCAAUAUUGUGCACUCUAUUCAAAAUUAUACACGCAUGCACAAUGAAAACAGAUUCGCGAGAGUAACGACCAAACUGUGGAUUUUACGCAUUAAAUAUUUAUCUCAGAAAAACAUGUGAAAUCAGUGUCGUAUAAAAUCAAAUAAAAUAAAACAGUGUUCCUAUAAAUUAUCGAUAAUAACCACGUGUGCUUGGUAUAUUAUAUAGAAACGUAGCACACAUUUGUAUACCGAUAAAUAACUUCAAUAGAAGCUCGACAAUUUAAACGAAUGAAAUAGUGUAAAAUUACGAAACAAAUUUAGGAACAGAGUAAUCUUUCCUGUUUUUUUCUGCCCUAAAUACGCGACGAAUGUUCAGAGUCGAGAUUCUAUUGCAUCCUGUUUUAUCCAAUGUUUAUAAUGGAAAAAAUGGAAAGAAUUCAGUAACAUCAUAUACGAAAAGUAAGAUUGAAACACAAAUGUCUCAUUGUCGGUAAUAAUUUCAAAGUUCAGGACAGAUAAUUGAUACUUUAUCACAGUGUUAAUAUAUAUAUAAUUUAUGCAAGGUAAUAAAUUUUCUGUUAUCAGUACCGAACAACGUUACUACAUUGUCGAUUUCCAGUAACAAUUAAUGUAAGGGAAUGGUAACUAAUUGUACUAACGAAACGCUGUAUAUUUUCAAAAAGUAAACAAGAAAGUUAAUAAUUCCUGUUGGAACAUAAGUUAGGAGCUGAUAACGCGAAACUAACUGCCCGUUUCAUUGUGGAAACAGGUGUGCUUCAAACCGUGAAUGUUUACAUUUCGUAAAUGUACGUUACUGAAUACGAAAAUCAAAGGUAAAUGAAGAAAAAUGAAAAUA